rnacentral:sRNA from 1 species
CGUCAAGGAAACCUUAAUUUUUGGUCCUCCAAAAUUAACCGCUUUAAAAACAAACUGAUGUAGCUAACGGUGGUGUGCCACAUCAUUUUUUUUUUCGAGUCAACGUCUCCUUCCUUGUAUCUUCACGCUGAGCUUCUCUCCCUCCCUCCAUCUUCCACUCUUCUUGGUCACCACCACACACAGUCACAUCAUCCAUUCAUGUCCCCGCUCCUGUUCCAUUGCUAGGCUGUAGCUAGUGAGCCUUGCAGAGGGCCCGAAUCAAGAUGAUGAAGGUAGAAACGUCAGGCGUGACGCCGUCAGCCAUCAUCUUGGAGUGCAGCGUUUCGACGAGCUUGAGUUUGUUGGCUUUGACGAGAAGGUUGAGGGCGACAUUGUAGAAGCGCGUGUGGGGUUUGAGGGCGAAGUCGUGUUCCAUGAGGUGGAUGACAGUGUUGAUUUCAGCGUGGAGUUCAAAGUUGGCGUAGGUUUCGAGGAAGAUGAGGAAGGUGGACUCGUCGACGGGGCAGGCGGAGGAGUGCAUCUGGUUGAGAAGAGAUAACAUUGAGUCGAUGGAGCCGACUCGAUCUAGUUGGCCUAGGAGCUCGUGGAAGAUUGAGGGGUGGGCCGAGUAAUUGGGCUGGGUGGAGGCCCAUUGGAAGAGGCGGAGCAUAGAGGACUCGUCGGGCUGGCGGCGAAGGAGGUUGAGGAGUUGGGAAGGGGAGAAGUCGGGGGGAGACAGGGUAAGGAAGAAGAGUCGAAGAUGGAGGGAGGGAGAGAAGCUGAGGGUGAAGAUGCAAGGAAGGAGAAGUUGACUCAAAAAUUGAGGUGUUCACCAUUAGUCACAUCAGCUUGUUUUUAAACGUUGUUAGUUUUGAAGGGUCAAAAGUUAAAAUUUCUUUGAGGA